UCAAUUUUACUUAACCAAUGCUUUCGUGAUGGUAGGUUUGAUGAUUUAAAAGGUCAUAGCUUAUACCAACUUGGAAAUCCUGUUGACCUGACUUGUUACUGCUGAGGAUUGAUAUGAAGGGUUGUAAAUGGAGAUAAUCUCAAUAACAGAGUUCCAGCCGGAGUUAUCUUCCACUGGUGAGUAUAUAUGGUUGAGCUACAGUAAUGUAUUUGUUAAGCUGGACUGAAAAUGCUGUAAUGGAACUUUGAUUUAAAGAAUUGUUUCUGGACUUGGUGCUGACAUUAUACUCAAUAUAAGCAACAUUUCUAGUGCAGAACUCCAAGAUGAAUUCUUCGGACUCAUACUACAGGUGGCGUCAAUCAUAACUUAUGAACACCUAAAAAACACUUUUUAAUUGGGGAAUCAAUUAAAUCUCUGAUUGGUUCUACAAUGUGUUGUUGCUGCAGGGGAAGAAAAACUUUGGUUUUGUUAUGUUUGUGGCCAUAUGUGGCAUUACGCAACUAAUGUCAUCCAUUCAGUUGACACCCGAAAGCAAAGAGGGAAUUAUUUAGAUUAGCAGUUUUUCUGUUCAGCUGCAUCUAGAUGGGGGGAAAACAAUCAAGAAACCUUUCAGGUUAACGGAGAUGCUCGAAAUCUGGAAGCUUGGAAACAGGUGGUUAGAUCUGUUUUUGUUCGAAUGAGUAUAUCAACGAGGCUGCCAUGCAGAUUGUAAUAAUGAAGCAAAUGGGGGCAUCAAGAUUUGGGAUUUGAGAAACACCUAAUAUUGUCUUGGAUAUAACUAUUCAUGCAGAUUGCAGUAGUGAAGCAAAUAGGGGCAUCAAGAUUUGGGAUAUGAGAAACACCUGAAGCUCCCUUUAGUGAUGGAAGUUACUUUGGUUCAUCACUAUUUUCUUGAAGAAAUUUAAGAGGGUGAGAGAGAACCGAUUUGUCUUGGAACAACAGUUGUAUCUAAUUGUUUUGGAUGAGUUCUUAGCUUUCAUGCUUAUCUUUAGAUUAGAUAUAGAUUAAAAGUUAUCCUUUUAGCUCAUACUUAUCAUUCAGUUAGUUAGCUUUAGAUAGUGUUUUGAUUUGAAUAAAUCUCCUAAUUCAAGGAGUACUCUUAGGAAGACUUGUAUAUAAACUGAGCUUGGCAUUCAAUACACAUACAAUUUUC
rnacentral:lncRNA from 1 species